GGGAAUUUUGCGCAAUGGGCGAAAGCCUGACGCAGCAACGCCGCGUGCGGGACGAAGGCCCUCGGGUUGUAAACCGCUUUCAGCAGGGAAGAUCCAAGACGGUCCCUGCAGAAGAAGCUCCGGCUAACUACGUGCCAGCAGCCGCGGUAAUACGUAGGGGGCGAGCGUUAUCCGGAUUCAUUGGGCGUAAAGCGCGCGUAGGCGGGUGCCUAAGCGGGACCUCUAACCUCGGGGCUCAACCCCGGGCCGGGUCCCGAACUGGGCGCCUCGAGUGCGGUAGGGGAGAUCGGAAUUCCCGGUGUAGCGGUGGAAUGCGCAGAUAUCGGGAAGAACACCGAUGGCGAAGGCAGAUCUCUGGGCCGACACUGACGCUGAGGCGCGAAAGCUAGGGGAGCGAACAGG
rnacentral:rRNA from 1 species